rnacentral:lncRNA from 1 species
GUGGAGCGCCAGAGCUGCUAAGUGCGUCAGUUGUGGAGUGGCGUAGACGAGUUAAGUCCUGGUCUGCGUGGAGGUCGACGACUCCGUCGCAGACUACGGACCUGUCUGGGUCUCAGCCGCCAAAGACCCCGUCCGGUAGGUGAGUGGCUCACUUUGAGGGCAAGCCUUCUCGGAUCGAGGCUUCUUCAUGGCCGCUCAGAUCGUGAGCGGCCGGGGCUGCUCUCUUUGCGGAGGAUGGCGUCUAAUGAGCGCAGUUGAUUCGAGGGUUACUAUUGAACAUGCUAGGGCUCGGUCACGAGGUGGAAGAGGUAGAGGACGAUACUCUGACCGUUUUAGUAGUCGCAGACCUCGAAAUGAUAGACGGUAUGUGAAGGGUGGAUGGCUGCAUUGAACAAUUAUUGUAGGGGUAGCAUUUAAGAUUCAGGAGUCAUUAGCAGUGAUGAUUUUGGGUCCUGCCGUAUAAUCUGUUCUUCUAUUCCCACGUUAGCCAGUUGUUCUUGAUGAAUCUAUAUGAGUCAUAGAACACAAAUCUAUUGACGGAAGUCAUUAGAAUGGCUUGUGAUAUCUGAUGGCUUGAACUUGCCCACAGUUGAACACAAGUGCUGUCAUUGCAUUUCUUCCAUUGUGAAUACGAAUUUUCUUCCUCAGAAAUGCUCCACCUGUAAGAACAGAAAAUCGUCUUAUAGUUGAGAAUUUAUCCUCAAGAGUCAGCUGGCAGUAGGUCAAGAAGCAGGUCUCGAUCCCGGACCAGAAGUUCCUCUAGGUCUCGUAGCCGAUCCCGUUCCCGUAGUCGCAAAUCUUACAGCCGGUCAAGAAGCAGGAGCAGGAGCCGGAGCCGGAGCAAGUCCCGUUCUGUUAGUAGGUCUCCCGUGCCUGAGAAGAGCCAGAAACGUGGUUCUUCAAGUAGAUCUAAGUCUCCAGCAUCUGUGGAUCGCCAGAGGUCCCGGUCCCGAUCAAGGUCCAGAUCAGUUGACAGUGGCAAUUAAACUGUAAAUAACUUGCCCUGGGGGCCUUUUUUUAAAAAACAAAAACCACAAAAAUUCCCAAACCAUACUUGCUAAAAAUUCUGGUAAGUAUGUGCUUUUCUGUGGGGGUGGGAUUUGGAAGGGGGGUUGGGUUGGGCUGGAUAUCUUUGUAGAUGUGGACCACCAAGGGGUUGUUGAAAACUAAUUGUAUUAAAUGUCUUUUGAUAAGCCUUCUGCUCACAUUUUUGUGAAUGUCUGAAGUAUAUAGUUUGUGUAUAUUGACAGAGCUCUUUUAUAACUAAAGCAAAUUUAAUUUUUUUGUACUAGAAAAAAAUUUGAACAUUUUAGUUCUUGGUUAUAAAAAUGUUAAUUCAGAAUUAGUUUAAUGCCUUAAUUAAACUAAUUAAUAGCUUUGGACACUUAAAAGAGCUCUAAAUUUGCUUGUACAUAAAGGCUUAAUUUGUUUUCCUUGUUAGGGUCAAGGGUGUCCUCCACUCUUUAACAGCUGCUGGACAGACACAUUAGAGCAGCUGUUUGUUAUUGAUAAUAAAAUAUUAUAAAACU